UUUAAAACCCAACUGCAUGUCAGGCCAAUUUUAGUAAUCUUUAUCUGGCCCUGAUUUUCCACAAAAACGAGGCGCCCCAAACUCCUAAAGCUGUCCUACUGGUUAAGGCUUCCCUGCAUUUUAUACAUCAUCUCAAGGAAUGCGUCUCUGUUCGUUAUUCAGCAUUGCUAUGAAUAACUCAAAGGAAACUUGCACAGCCAAAAUCAGUGAGCAGCAGAGAAUACCUGGCUUUCUUUUUCUUAGGUUGUGCCUCCUGUCUUAGGGGCAUCUGUUCUUCACUGCCGACAGGGAGUAGCCAUGCUGGCUCAGAGCAGGAGACACCAACUUCACUACAGGACAAAGCCUGAACUCAAACUUGCUGGAGGCAACCAGGGCAAAAAUCCAGGACUUGCUGGACACCUGCAGUUUCUCCUUUGGCUUUCCAGCAGGCUGACAUCAGGGUGAAGUGAUGAGUGUGUAAUGCUGGGGUGUACACCAGGUCUAUUGCAUCCGUGUGCACUAUUCCACUCCACUUCUCAGCUGAAGCUGGAGACAACAAAACAGUCUUGGGGACAAUAAAACAAGUCUACAGGCUCCCAAAGGAACAGUGUGCUGCUAUCCAAAAUUACAAGGUUGGGGAAUGCUGGAAGUUAUGAAACUUUCCUAAAGGCCCCCCAGGAGCCACACCCCUGAUGCUGAGAUGCACAGUGCUCACCCACAACGUGUCCUCAGAGGGCCACUUCAGUCACCUCCAUUUAAAAGUUGUGGCUCUGCUAGCUCAUUACAAACUCCCCUGGUGUCAGGACCUUCCCUUCCAGCACUCCAUGACACUCUGUAUCCCAGAAUCAUCAUUGUUAGAAAAUUGGGUGCCAGAACUGGGCACAGCAGCGCUGGUCCCAUCAGUGAGACACACCUGUAAUAUCAUGGCCUCCUGCAUAACCAUGCAAGUAUUGCAUUAACCUUAGCCCAUGGAUUGCAUAGGGAAUUCAUGUUUUCUUUCAGGAUAGAAGGCGUGUUGUGCUGACCAUGCAUGAGGAGGCCAAUCUCGUUGCUAAUGGAUACAGGAUAAAGCGUGAGGUGAUAUUUGUUCAGCUGAGUCACUUGCAGCCAGAGGAGAUGCAAAGAUGCUGUCUGUACCCCAGCCUUUCUUCAGGAUGAAGCUUUUCUUUGCAUUUUGUUAUUUUAGACUCCUUCAGGUUCUUAAUAAAUUUCAGGUCCAUCAGCUUUUCAAGCCAUCAGGAAUUUUAGCACAAUGCUGGCCACGCUGUGCUGUCACUGGGAGACCUCUCUGCUGUAAUGGUGUGUUUGUGUUAGCUCGGCUCCAAACGCAGCAGCCAGGAGUGUUUCACCAGCACAGCAGAUAAACGUGACGCUGCUGUGCAUUGUGCUGCUGCUUUUCAUGUAUUUCAGCAGCCACAGGGCUCAGGAAGCAGCUCGGAGCAGCGUGGGCCAUCUCCAGCAAACUCUCCCAUCUGGGGAGGCACUUGGGAGGCUGCAGAGGAGGCAGGUGUGCAGCUGCCAGCCCCCAUUCCCCACAGGGAAAACUCUGCAUUCCCAGCAAAAGGAACCUCCUGGCGUGCUCCCCCGUCUCAGGGGUCUGCCUGGCCUUUUGCUGACAGCAUAAUUUCCUCAGGAGCUCCAGAGUCUGACAUCUCUGCUCACGACCCUUUUUUCUGAGCAACGUUAAUAUCUGCUGCGGGUCUGGCAGGUGCAGCAUCCCCUAAUUGUGUCUGCAUGCCCAGCCCUGAUUCAAGCACCCCUGCAAUGUCUGAAUUUCUACCUAGGCGGUGCACAGACCUCCUUUUCUCCAGGAAAAGGUGCGCCGCUCACUCGUGAGCCCUUAGCCCACGAUCUCCAGGCAAGAAGAAAUGGGAAAUUGGCCUGAGCCAUCCUUGUGGGAGCUCAUCAGCACGCCCGAUGGAGCUGAAUAGCAUUUGCCAGUCUGAAUUAUGGCUGGUGUCACAGGCACAACCAAAGCUCCUUUGUGAGACCAGCAAGGAGACACCUACCUCGGAAAGCCAAAAAUAGUUGAUAUAAACUUGACUGAAGUGGCCAUCUGAGGUGGUGAAAAGCAGCACAGUGGGAAUCCACGGUGACCAGACACUGUGCCAGGCAGAGGGUGAGUCUGGGCUGAUGAGCUGCUAUGGCAGGGAGCUUCCCAUCCCUUGGAAGCCAGUGAAGCAUGCCUAACCUGGCACUGAUUACUCGUCCCUGGCACUCGUUACUCUGCCCCAAUUCAUUGCUCAGAAUUAAAGAAGAUUUUUGAGAACUUGCUUGAUUCGUAAUAUAGAAAUAAACAUUUGGUCUGCCUGUGAUCUCUACCCCAACUAGCCACUUAAUUAAGU